CUUGGGAGCAGGGAGGGUUCUGCUACCCUGAGGGGCCCUCCCCGCGGGGCAGAGGGUGGGAGGAACUCACGGCAUGUACUUCUGAAUGUAUGCUUGCCUUGAGGAACAACGACAGGACACAGGGAUGUGGACAUUUUCAAUCAGAUGGUUCUGUCCGACAGUGUCGGCACACAGAGAGCGUUCCACUGACUGACCUCUUUUUGUUUUCAAAUGAAGAGAAGCCAAGAAUAGGACGGCCUAGGAAGGUGAGCUGCGUAAAACUCGUCAGACUGAGCUCAUCCUCGUCUAUGGCCAAAAGUUGGUUUCUCGUUUCUAGAAGAUGAAAGAUGUGAUGAUUUAGGAAAAAGCCAUUCUCUCUGCUUACUGCUUGCUGUUUGAGAUGUGCGUCUUCACACAUUCCUACCGACGUAUCUGACCGAUGCUGCCAAGAUUACCUGAUGGGAUGGACGCUAAUGCCUCUACAACCAGAAGCCCAAGAAUGGCAGAAAUAUUCAGGAAACCUAAGCCCGACUCUUGAAAAAAAAAUUCAGAUGCUGGCAGAGCCCCAAAAUGGAUAUUGGGAAGCAUUUUGAGAACUACUGUUCACAGAGAGCACAGAGAGAAGCUUCCAGCACUUUGGAGGCAGAGGUUAUUGGGAUAGGAGCUCUAACCUGCCCAGGGAGUCAGACCUUGUCAAUCAAAGUCUCAACACAUCCUUGCUGUGGAUACUAAAUCCCACCCUGUUCUCCAAAAAGUGCAGCCAAGAGGUGGAGGGCUUCAUCCCUGACUAAGCCUCCGCUUAGGACACUCUCACGUCCAGAAGGUCAUAAGGGCACCUGGAUAAGACAUCGUGAGUGAACCUCUAUGGCUUCUCCAGUAUUGAAAGCCACAUCAGUUGCACACGUUUCUAAGAGGGUCCGCUGGUGCACGUGUUUAUGAAGAUGUCUCACAAUAUAAAGAGAUUUCAGUUCUUUGUGCCACCCACAUCCUUGAGUAUGUCUCCUGAGACACACGUGGGAGUCUGUCUGGGGUAUAAAUGAGGAUGGACGUUGCCCGAAAUGCAUAUGGGCUUUUGACUUCACCCGGUUGCUUUCGGGACUAUUGUGCACAAUGGCCAAAUGGAGGCUCUCUUUUUCAUUUACCAAUUACUCUUCUUAAAGAAAUACGUGAGGAGGAGCGUUAUGGGUUCCCAAGGUAUGAGAGACUGGUUCUUGCUCUGAAGAAGGUUUCAUUCUCAUCCGAAUGGAGAGACAUUUGCACUUGAAGGCAGCUGUGAUUUGGGAGCCCAGGAUGUGAGGUGUGUGAAGGGGUCCAGCAGAACUUCCAAAUGGAAUAAAGAAGGUCAAAGAGUGUCCAGCCAACCGACGUGUGGACAUCAUUGUGCCAUUUGAGCUGAAUAGAUUCUGUGCUAUUUAUUGUCCAUUUAGCCUCUGUUGGUUUCUUGUGACUGCUGUAACAAAUUAGCACAAACUGGUUGACUUAAAACAACAGAAUUUUAUUUUCUUCCAGUUUUUAGAGGCCACAAGUCUGAAAUGAAGGUUUGGGCAGGGUCUGAGUCUCUUGAGGCCUGGAGAGGGGGGUGAUCUGUCUCUUGUUUCUUCCAGUUAGUGAUAGCCUCAGGCUUUCUUUGGCUCCUGGCCACUCCCGUCCAAUCUGUUUCUGUGGUCACAUUGACUCCUCCAAUGUUGUAAAACUCCCCCUGCUACUCCCUGUAGGAAUGUGUGCCACUGAAGUAAGGACCCACCCAGAAUGUGGGCUAAGCCUCCCCUCUCAUGACCCUCAACUGAAAUCACAGCUUUUGCCAUGGAAUGCAGAGAUGAAUCCUGGGGCAGCAGCGAGUGUGAGAAGAGAAGGGAAGCAGAAUAAGACAAGGUGUUCUGCCAGAGGGAGCUUGAGUAUCCACGGAAAGACGGAAUGCCUGCACAAGUGGCUUCGCAGAACAGUAAUGUGCUACAGGAUGAAGCCAUGCCUCAAUAGGAAGGUUCUUGGAUGCUGUAAGAAGGGACCGACGGGACUGGAGAGAUGGCCCAUGGUUAAGAACACUGGCUGUUGUUCCAGGGGAUCCAGGUUGAAUUCCCAGCACCUACAUGGCAGCUCACAACUGUCUGUCACUCCAAUUCCAGAGGAUACGGCCACCCUCACACAGACAUACAUUACGAUGGUCACGUGAGGAUCCAGACACACAAGGAGAACACCAUGUGAAGAUGGAUACUGAAUUGAAGUGCUGCCGUUGUGAGCCUUGGAAUGCCCCUGGCUGAAAAGGAAAUGUCUGAGCUACUGAAGGGAGAUAAAGUUGCAUGCUGGUUAAAUGGCUUCUAGCUGUGAGUGCAAACAUGGAAAUGUACUGAGCCAUUGCAAUGAGGAAGCUGCUUCUCGAACCUAAGAAGGCUGCAGCAGAGCUGCGGGCAAGUUCCUGAAGCAGCUGAGGUCAUUCACCCUUCUCGCUGGCUCAGGCCCGGCCUUCAGCAAGAUUAAGAUUUGGAUUUGGAAAACCUGAGUGACCCAUCAAGACAAAAACAAUGUGAUAAGAAAUUUUCUUUCUCCUCUUGUUUUCCCUGUGUCUGGAGUUUCUUCAAGAACAUGAAAUGAGAGAGAAAACCAUAACUUAAAGGUAUUGAGAUAUGAGAACAUUUUGAGAAGGCACUUGGGUGGCGCUCUGUCUGUAACUGAACCUUGCCUGUGCUUGGCUGGCACUCCCUUUACAGCACGCAGAGUCUUGAGGUCCAAAGCCCCUCUUCCUGCAAAAUGGUUAUCCUGGUGGCAUUGCUCUAAAUAGAAGGACUUAGGUAGGGUAAACAGGAGGAUUGUGAGCAAGCCUUAAGGUUUCUGAUCACUAGAAAAGCAGAUCUUUUAAGAGGGUUUACCAGGAACCUCAGCCUUUAACCUUUCCUGCAAAGGUCAGCUACCACAGGCAUGGGCAUCUAGUUCCUGCUCAGUCCUGAUGGCCUGUAUCAGCUCAAGUCCCCACCCCGAUGACUGUCAUAUCUGCUUGGUUUCCCACCAUUUUGCUUUUCUCUCUACCUUGGCAGUUUGAGCCCCAGUGAAUCUUUCUUUCUGCCCAUAGACCAGUCUAGUUCAGUAAUUUCUCUGCCCCGAGUCUCAGGUAUUAAUCUGCGAGGACGGCCUCCAUCUGGGGACUUUUUUCUGUUCUCAGUGAAGUGGCACAUUCAGUUCCUGGUGCAGCGUCCGUUCGUUUCUUUUAGUCAUUUCACAGCUGUUUGCUGGGAGAAGCAAGACUGAACUACUUGGGGCUGAUUUCACAAGGAAGCUGAAAACAAGGCCUUCCCAGUUCCCGUUUGUGAUUUUCAAGUCAAUAAAGCAUGUCUGUCUUGGUGGAUGUUUCUCUCUAACUGGCUUCAGUUGUCUGCUGAGCUGUCUACCUGGCUUCCCCUUGGCUGGGAAACCUCGGUUUGUGGCCAUCCUGUUACAGGUGGAUGGCUGCCCGGCUGCCCACCGUUGUUUGUUAUUAAAUUGGUGAUGCAAUUUCUGUUUGGCAGUUUGUGACUGCAAGGUUAUUCAAGGAUGCUGUUUAGAAAUACAAGUGAGCUACAGAACGAGAUGUCGGAGCGGAUGGUCGGUUUGUUAUGUUUUUUUCUUUUUUUUUUUAAGGCUGUUCAGGGACAGUAGACGAAUGCACAAAUUUGUUAUUGUGGAUUGUUAUGAAUCCCAAAGACGCACAUACGGGGAUCAUUAUUGUAGAUUGGCUUGUGACAGCUGGCCCUGAUUUACUUAUUUCCUCAAGAAGACACUUUGAACAAUUAUUGAAAUGCCUCCCCUCUGUAAUUAUAAUAAUAAUGAUGAUGAUUUUGCAACUGAAUAUGCAAUUCAGGGCGUACACACUCAACUGUUUUUAGCUUGUUUCUCUUUUUACAUUGAUGUCAGCUGCUGUCUUGGCUUGUGAAGAGCUGAGAAGGACUUUCCAACCAAGGGUCAAUGAGCUACAUGAAGAGUCAUCUGUGGCCAACCCGGGAAAUUACUAAAAUAAUAAUUUUAGUAAUAUACAUUACAAUACAAUAAUAUUACAGUUAGUAUGUAAGGAGCAAGCUAACUAUGGGCAGGGUUCUUUUUUCUCCUUUUU
ensembl:lncRNA